rnacentral:rRNA from 1 species
CAAGCGGAACGAUGAUAGCUUGCUAUCAGGCGUCGAGCGGCGGACGGGUGAGUAAUACUUAGGAAUCUACCUAGUAGUGGGGGAUAGCACGGGGAAACUCGUAUUAAUACCGCAUACGACCUACGGGAGAAAGGGGGCAGUUUACUGCUCUCGCUAUUAGAUGAGCCUAAGUCGGAUUAGCUAGAUGGUGGGGUAAAGGCCUACCAUGGCGACGAUCUGUAGCUGGUCUGAGAGGAUGAUCAGCCACACCGGGACUGAGACACGGCCCGGACUCCUACGGGAGGCAGCAGUGGGGAAUAUUGGACAAUGGGGGAAACCCUGAUCCAGCCAUGCCGCGUGUGUGAAGAAGGCCUUUUGGUUGUAAAGCACUUUAAGCAGUGAAGAAGACUCUUCGGUUAAUACCCGGAGACGAUGACAUUAGCUGCAGAAUAAGCACCGGCUAACUCUGUGCCAGCAGCCGCGGUAAUACAGAGGGUGCAAGCGUUAAUCGGAAUUACUGGGCGUAAAGGGAGCGUAGGUGGCUCGAUAAGUCAGAUGUGAAAUCCCCGGGCUCAACCUGGGAACUGCAUCUGAUACUGUUGAGCUAGAGUAUGUGAGAGGAAGGUAGAAUUCCAGGUGUAGCGGUGAAAUGCGUAGAGAUCUGGAGGAAUACCGAUGGCGAAGGCAGCCUUCUGGCAUAAUACUGACACUGAGGCUCGAAAGCGUGGGUAGCAAACAGGAUUAGAUACCCUGGUAGUCCACGCCGUAAACGAUGUCUACUAGUCGUUGGGUCCCUUGAGGACUUAGUGACGCAGCUAACGCAAUAAGUAGACCGCCUGGGGAGUACGGCCGCAAGGUUAAAACUCAAAUGAAUUGACGG